GAGGCCAGGGCAGCCCAGCCUCAGCUCAUGGCCUAAGCAGGACUGUGAGCACCAUGGCUCGGAUCCCCGCCCUCCUCGUGCUCCUUUCCCUCUGUGCAGGGUCCCUCUCCCAGCCUGUGCUGACUCAGCCGCCCUCCCUCUCUGCGUCUCCGGGAGCAUCAGCCAGACUGACCUGCAGCCUGAGCAGUGGGACCAUUGUUGGCGGCUACCAUAUAAACUGGUACCAGCAGAAGGCAGGGAGCCCUCCCCGGUACCUGCUAAGGUUCUACUCAGACUCCAAUAAACACCAGGGCUCCGGGGUCCCGAGCCGCUUCUCUGGAUCCAAAGAUGCAUCAGCCAAUGCAGGGCUUCUGCUCAUCUCUGGGCUGCAGCCUGAAGACGAGGCUGACUAUUACUGCGGUACAUAUCAUAGCAACACUGGUACUCACACGGUGCCCCAGCCCCACAGGAACGUGAGACUGAAAGCUCCCCUGUGCUCUCACAGCUGCGCUGUCACUGCUGCUCUGCCUGGGACCAGGUCUGACUCAGGGUGA